CCCUUUAGGGGGGACAUGAAGGAGGGACAUUA
rnacentral:rRNA from 1 species